rnacentral:lncRNA from 1 species
UGAUAUAAUAUGAUGAUGGUCACUCUAAUCAUUAAUUCAUCAAACAAUUCAAAUGUACUAAGGGUGUGUUUGGCAACCCGCACAACAUAGGAUUAAAACAUUGUUUCACAUUAACUUAAUACUAACUCGUGUUUGGCGUUAAAUUCGACUGGCGCGGUAUUAUAUUAACUUGGAAAACUAAUGCAGUCAAAUCCACAUAAACCAAACCCGAGAGGGGGUAAGGUUUACGCCACAUCGUAUUAGAGUAAAUCGAAAAAAUAAAAUAGAGAAUUUUACAGUAUAUUCACGAUGAAAUUCAUAUCACCCAGUCCAACACCAUCAAAUCGACCUAACAAUCAUCACUCGACGGCAUCACCAACGCCUUUACAGUGCCGCGCGACACCAUAGUCACUGCUCCAUGAAGACGCCUUCAUUGUGGAGAAGAUAAAACCCAAAGAAGAAGAAGAAAAAAGGAGAAAAAGAGGAAAGAAAAAAAGGAAAACAAAUUGAAGAAGACAGAAAGGAGAAGAAAGGGAGGAGGAAAAAAGAAAAUGAAAUGAAGACGAAGAAUGAGAAAAAAAAAAAUGAACGAAGAAGAAAGAGAUAUGGAGAAGACGUAAGU